rnacentral:lncRNA from 1 species
GGUGAAUUACACAGAAAAGAUGUUUAAUGUAUGGAAGCUUUCCAUUAGUAAACAGAACUGGCCACAUGAUGGCACCAUUAGCCGGAGCAGCAAAGAGGAUCUGCUGUUCACCCGUAUGAAACAGGAGUCUAUUUUUAGCGCAAGGGACAUGCGCUAUUUUGCUAAUUUGAUGCACCUGGACUACAAGUCAGCAUUCGUCUCUUAUGAAAUCAAAUCCAACAGGAGAUUAUUUUCCGGGUGGAAGAUAUUGGAUCCAUCAAACCCUCCCCGUCCCCCGAUCUCUGACCACUUUGUGGCAGACCCAUCACACCUAGCUCCUGAGUUCAAGUAAAGAAUUCCCAGAUAAAACGCUUGCUGCUCCAAGAUGCCGAUGACCUGGUCAUUCUAACACCUAUGCAAGUGGUUUCCAAAGGAAUUUGUGCCUAUUAAAAACAUGCUUCAGGGCAUGGGCUUGACAUGUCAACUUGGAUAAAAACAAGAAUCAUGCUAUUUCAGAAAAAAGCCCCAAACAAGCUAACAUUUGUCACAGAGUUAUCAAAAUGGAACAUACUCCAAAUUAUAUGUAGCAGAGUCUCGUAAUGAAUGCACUCUGGCCCAGGCUGCAGGCUGGAGAUCAGACCAGUUCACUUAUGUGGUGGGGUUGCUCAAAACAGGUAUCAGUCGUAUAAGAAGGUAUUUAGAGUGCAGAGUCUGUGAAAUGCUUGCAAGUUGCUGCAUGGAUUAAUCUCACGUGUAAUGUCUGUAUUCCAUGCUACCCGGCAUUAUGUAAAGUUUGCUUUAUAACUUUGAAAAUGUUUGCUCUAAACUUGUGAACUCAGAUGGGAAGAGUGUUUCCCCCUGCCCGGCCAGGAGGACUGUCAAAAUCAGAUUGGCCAUCAAGGAACAUCGCACUACAAAGGAUUGGUUAUUGGCCCUAUUGCACCUUGGAAAUGCUACCUGCAAGGAAGUUUGUUCUUGGGACUUGGAAGCUGAAUGAAGGAAAUAAAAGUCACAGGAAAAUUUUCCA